rnacentral:rRNA from 1 species
GAUGAACGCUGGCGGCGUGCCUAAUACAUGCGAGUCGAGCGAACGGACGAGAAGCUUGCUUCUCUGAUGUUAGCGGCGGACGGGUGAGUAACACGUGGAUAACCUACCUAUAAGACUGGGAUAACUUCGGGAAACCGUGGCUAAUACCGGAUAAUAUUUUGAACCGCAUGGUUCAAAAGUGAAAGACGGUCUUGCUGUCACUUAUAGAUGGAUCCGCGCUGCAUUAGCUAGUUGGUAAGGUAACGGCUUACCAAGGCAACGAUGCAUAGCCGACCUGAGAGGGUGAUCGGCCACACUGGAACUGAGACACGGUCCAGACUCCUACGGGAGGCAGCAGUAGGGAAUCUUCCGCAAUGGGCGAAAGCCUGACGGAGCAACGCCGCGUGAGUGAUGAAGGUCUUCGGAUCGUAAAACUCUGUUAUUAGGGAAGAACAUAUGUGUAAGUAACUGUGCACAUCUUGACGGUACCUAAUCAGAAAGCCACGGCUAACUACGUG